CAUCUAAGCAUGAAGCCCCCCUCGAGAUGAGAUUUCCCAACUUCGGUUAUAAGAUCCCUCAAAGAUGAUGAGGUAAAUAGGUUCGAGGUGGAAGCGUAGCGAUACGUGGAGCUGACGAAUACUAAUCGAUCGAAGACUUAAUCAACAU
rnacentral:rRNA from 1 species